rnacentral:rRNA from 3 species
AUGAACGCUGGCGGUAUGCUUAACACAUGCAAGUCGAACGAGUGGCGGACGGGUGAGUAACGCGUGAGAAUCUGGCUCUAGGUCUGGGACAACCACUGGAAACGGUGGCUAAUACCGGAUGUGCCGGGUGAAAGGUUAACUGCCUAGAGAUGAGCUCGCGUCUGAUUAGCUAGUUGGAAGUGUAAUGGACUCCCAAGGCGACGAUCAGUAGCUGGUCUGAGAGGACGAUCAGCCACACUGGGACUGAGACACGGCCCAGACUCCUACGGGAGGCAGCAGUGGGGAAUUUUCCGCAAUGGGCGAAAGCCUGACGGAGCAAUACCGCGUGAGGGAGGAAGGCUCUUGGGUCGUAAACCUCUUUUCUCAGGGAAGAACACAAUGACGGUACCUGAGGAAUAAGCAUCGGCUAACUCCGUGCCAGCAGCCGCGGUAAUACGGAGGAUGCAAGCGUUAUCCGGAAUGAUUGGGCGUAAAGCGUCCGCAGGUGGCAAUGUAAGUCUGCUGUUAAAGAGUCUAGCUCAACUAGAUAAAAGCAGUGGAAACUACAUAGCUAGAGUACGUUCGGGGCAGAGGGAAUUCCUGGUGUAGCGGUGAAAUGCGUAGAGAUCAGGAAGAACACCGGUGGCGAAGGCGCUCUGCUAGGCCGUAACUGACACUGAGGGACGAAAGCUAGGGGAGCGAAUGGGAUUAGAUACCCCAGUAGUCCUAGCCGUAAACGAUGGAUACUAGGCGUGGCUUGUAUCGACCCGAGCCGUGCCGUAGCUAACGCGUUAAGUAUCCCGCCUGGGGAGUACGCCGGCCACGGUGAAACUCAAAGGAAUUGACGGGGGCCCGCACAAGCGGUGGAGUAUGUGGUUUAAUUCGAUGCAACGCGAAGAACCUUACCAAGGCUUGACAUGUCGCGAAUCUUCUUGAAAGGGAAGAGUGCCUUCGGGAGCGCGAACACAGGUGGUGCAUGGCUGUCGUCAGCUCGUGUCGUGAGAUGUUGGGUUAAGUCCCGCAACGAGCGCAACCCUCGUUUUUAGUUGCCAGCAUUAAGUUGGGCACUCUAGAGAGACUGCCGGUGACAAACCGGAGGAAGGUGGGGAUGACGUCAAGUCAGCAUGCCCCUUACGCCUUGGGCUACACACGUACUACAAUGCUCCGGACAGAGGGCAGCAAGCAUGCGAAUGCAAGCAAAUCCCGUAAACCGGAGCUCAGUUCAGAUCGCAGGCUGCAACUCGCCUGCGUGAAGGAGGAAUCGCUAGUAAUUGCAGGUCAGCAUACUGCAGUGAAUUCGUUCCCGGGCCUUGUACACACCGCCCGUCACACCAUGGAAGGUGGUAGUGCCCGAAGUCAUUACUCCAACCAUUCGUGGAGGAGGAUGCCUAAGGCAGGACUGGUGACUGGGGUGAAGUCGUAACAAGGUAGCCGUACCGGAAGGUGCGGCUGGAUCACCUCCUU